ensembl:lncRNA
CAGGACGCGGGGCCUGGUCCCUGCGUGCCGAGGGCGACAUAUUUCUCUACGAACCCCACAGCCCUCAGCCACACCAAACCAAAAUCAAAACUUACAGAACUUCACUGGCGCAUUAGCUGGCUAAUUUCUCCUCUUCUCCAAGAAGAUAUCAUCAUGUUUCCCUGAAAACAGUCACACAAGUUUAUCCUCCCGCAAAUGGAGAUUUGGUAAGGUAUUCUUCUGGACUUGUUACAAGAGAUAACAGCUCUUGAGUGGCUUGAGAUUUCAAACUAAAUGAAUUCAUAACCAGAGUUAUGAUCCUGGUCUCCUUACACCUGAAGAGUCUUGAGGGCUCAGAAUAUCUCCUGGAUAGCUAUAUAAACGAUGCAAAGACCAUUCCUAAUGUUGUGGAAAAUCUUUUACUUUUUGAUGGCAAGCUGUUUUCUCUUACCUUAUAUACAUUAAAGUAACUCUGAUGUUUAAUGUGA